AAGCACAAACCACUUUCCCCAUCUCUCUCAAAAUAACCACAAAUACUUUUAGUAGGAGAAAAAAGUAAUAGAAUAAUAUUAGUUACUUAUUAAGAACUCAACUCUGGGGCUAAGGAGAAUUCUAUGCAAGGAUGAGAAACAGUUCAGACAGGUCUCCGGAGACCACAUAAAGGCCAGGCAAGCAAGGGCAACAGAGGUGGGGCCAGGAAGUUUUGGUGAAGGUGCUCUAUCCAGGCAAGUCAGAGCAGCGAGUGCAGGAACAGUAAGUAACCUUGCCUCAAUGAUGAGGUAGAGAGGCACCAAGGAAGUCACCUGACAUAGCCUCAGAUCUCUCCACAUUUGCACAGUUCCCUAAAUAUAUGUGAACACACAUGCAUGGACAGUGUGCAUGCACAUACACAUUAAAAAAUCUAAUUCAAAUAAACUCCAAUCCAAGAGGUUGUUAGAAUAACUAACCUCUUUUUGAGAUAAGUAGGGUUUCAUGAUAAACUGAGCCUGAACAUAGUAUCAGUUCCUUUCCUGAUCAAAUAAAUGUUUCAUAUGGUUCUUAAUUUGUUAUUUUCUCUAGCUUAGUGUGUUCAAAAGUAAUCUUUAAGAAAAAUGUCCUUCCUUCAAAUUUAAGAAAAUAUUUCUUUGGUAAAAUUGUUAUUCAUUCAAAGCAUUUCAACUUUCAACAUAAUUGUUGCUUUUGUUGAAAGUCUACCAUUUGGAAAAGGUGAGAUGUGGUACAUGCUUUUAUCUAAACUUUUAUGUGGAGUUCAAUAAUGAAAAAUGCCACUAGCCACUUUUGUAAUAAUACCAAGCAAUAAAACUCUCCAGUAUGAGUUUAUACCAAAAGUUUAACAUGAAGGCCCUAAGCUACAGCAUAUAGAGAAUCAACUUCUGAGAAGUGAUAUGAUAGUCCAAAUUGCUGAGCACAGGGGAAAGAAGGAAGGCAUCGUUCCAUGGCUUCAGGCAUAUCAACUGUGUUUAAUUUCUUUUUUUUUUAGAUUUAUUUAUUUUAUGUAUAUGAGUACACUGUCACUAUCUUUAGACACACCCGAAGAAGGCAUCAGAUCCCAUUGCAGAUGGUUGUGAACCACCAUGCGGUUGCUGGGAAUUGAACUCAGGACCUCUUAAUUGCUGAGCCAUCACUCUAGCCUUGUGUUUAAUUUCUACAAAGGCUAUGUAUAAUGAAGCAGUUUGUUUGCUCUGCUCUGUUUUAUCAGCUGUGUUGUACAUUUCUGUGAAUUGAAUUCAACAUAAAGGUUGCCAUACUGUCUUCACUGGAUUACCUACACCAUUUUUUAAAUAUAGGAAUUAACCUUGUAAAUGUUCCCUGCUGAAUUUUCUAAACAAGAGUAUAUGUUGCCAUCAGAACUGUUUAACUAUAAUUCCAUGGUACUUCAGGGUUGUUGAAGAGCCACUGAUGCCUUCUAAAAUCCUCUACUCAAAAAUACUUCUGGAGUUCAUGAUUCUGUUUUUUGGGGUAUUUGGGGAGAUUGAUUGUUUUCCUCCUUUUGGUUGAGGUGGAAGGGUUUUCCCUCCUUCAGUUAUUUUCAGAUAUCAUUUGUUUAUUUCUAAAGCUUUAACUUAUUCAGAGUGUAUUGUCUGAAAUGGAUUCUUAAUCCUCAUAUCUGUCAGUGUGUUGUCAUGGCAAAUGAGCAUGAAUAAGAGUAAAUCAAUUCCCAGAAAGCACAGGUCUUAUUUAUCUCUGUUGUUUUAAGAGUAGAAGGUAACUUAGCUUUCCUACAUCACAUGAUAAGCACAUGGUAUGUAUAAUCUAAAAUUUGAAAGACAGAACAAUCUUAGUGUUUUAUUUAAUGUUGUGAUCUUCAAGAAUGUAUGAAUAUAAGAACUGAGGCUAAAGAGUUCCUCUUAUUAGAGUUACAUUCACAUUUGUAGUGGAUCCUGUCACUUUUUCAUUCUAAGUUUAAUUAGAAUCAAGUUUUUUAUUUUCAUAUAACUAUCAAACUAUAGGUUCCCUAGAUUUUAAAAGAAAAGCAUUAGACUACUAGAUCUAUCUAAAUACUCUCUGUGACUUUAUAUGUAUAAAUGUACAAAUUAUAAAUCUUCAAUUCUCACCAAAGAACAAAAUGUUAUGUAAAAUUUAAUUUAAGUAUUUUAACAAAAUUAUUCACAUGUGUUUUUAAUGUUAUAAUUCAUCUUUACCCAAGCCCAUCAGUCUUGCUAGGUUACAGGAAGAGGCAAUGUUGCUUUUGUUGCAGGUAUAGAGAGAGCACCUACCUUAGCACAUGAAAGGAAUGAAUGGAGCUGGAUAAAUGGGCUGACUACUUGUAUCCAUGUGAACUGCUCGAGAGAAAUAAGUUAGAAGAUGCCUAUGUACUUGUUGGUGGAUGAAAUCCUUGUGCUCAGGAUUUGACCUUGGCAUCUAAAUUAUACAUGAUAUUAUCUUAUCAUUACUUUAUUUCUUCUUUAAGCUUUUACAAAGUAAUCUCAUUCUAUAAGCCAUUUUUCUGCUAUUUUUCACUCUAAAGUCAACUUUCUAAGAGAAGGGAAUGGCUAAAUGCUGUGUCUUUUCUGUAUUUCAAGAUAAAAUAACACAUGGCUUCUACAAGAUAGUUUAUUUGUUGGAAGUGGGGGUCACUGAAAGUUACAUAAAGAUCAUACUUUGCCCUAAAAUUCAUUGUGAUCAAUUUGAUAAAAAAAAUUAAAUCAAAUUUUAGUAUAUUUUAAUAAGUGAAUACUAAAUGCAUCAAGUAAAUACAGACCUUAUAGCCCAUUAUGAUGAGAAAAUUGAAUUGUGUAUUAUGAAAUAUGAAGACUCAAAUAUAUACUAUAUAUUAUUUAACAUUUAAUCAUUCAUAUAUAAAACCAAACUGCCAUUUCAUAUUUUAAGAGACAAUUAAUUGUUUUGUUUUGGUUUUGGUUUUUUGGUUUUUCGAGACAAGGUUUCUCUGUAUAGCUGUCCUGGAACUCACUUUGUUGACCAGGCUGGCCUCGAACUCAGAAAUCCACCUGCCUCUGCCUCGAGUGCUGGGAUUAAAGGUGUGUGCCACCACACCCAGUGCUAAUUGUUAUUUAAAAAACUAAGAAUUAUUUUGAUUUUUCUUUUGACAUGUUUACUGAGUUUCAAAGGGCACAUCAGAAUUUUAUAGUUGUGAAAAUAUAAACAUCCCUAUUUUGCAGUGGUGUGAAUGUACAAUACUUAGAUAUGCUGUAUAUAUAGUGUAACAUCUGUAUAUUUAAUCAUAAAGGCAGAUAAUUGAAAACAUUGUAAAAUUAAGCACUUCAAUUCUUGUUAAAUAUGAAACAUUUGUAUCUUGUAAAUAAAGACAUCCUUAAAUUGG
rnacentral:lncRNA from 1 species